rnacentral:rRNA from 1 species
CGGAGGCAGCAGUGAGGAAUAUUGGACAAUGGAGGCAACUCUGAUCCAGCCAUGCCGCGUGCAGGAAAACGCGCCUACGGGUUGUAAACUGCUUUUAUACAGGAAAAAUUGUGCCUACGUGUAGGUAUUUGACGGUACUGUACGAAUAAGGAUCG